rnacentral:rRNA from 1 species
GAUGAACGCUGGCGGCACGCCUAACACAUGCAAGUCGAACGAACCUUUUUGAACUUUAAUCUCGAAGCUCUUUAUGAGUCUCAAGAUACGAAGCCCAAAAUCGUUAGUGGCGGACGGGUGAGUAACACGUUGGAACCUGCCCCGAAGAGGGGGAUAACUACCCGAAAGGGUGGCUAAUACCCCAUAUACUCCGAUUUAUUCGGAGGAAAGCUUUUGCGCUUCGGGAGGGGCCUGCGUAACAUUAGCUUGU